UUUUUUUUCUUUCUUCUUUCCAAGAACAGAGCAUCCCCUAUUCUUUGGACGUGAGCUCCCCUCCUUCCCUCUUGAACCAACCGACCACCUCCCCUAUUUCUUGGCCCCAACCCCAACCGAGAGCUCCCCCUUUUGAUGGCUCCCUCUCCUUUUAUAGAUCAACCCCCCUGGGGAGGGGGAGGAUACUUGGGAUCACGAAAGGAAGGAAAGAGGCGGACUCUUGGGCUGCUGGGAGGAGCCGAUCACGGCCAUGGUGGAGGCUAGAUCGUCGAGAGGAAGGACGUGGAUUCCCAUCUGGCUGGCCACAAAAUCGCUGGAUUACAGGAUAAUAAUCCGGAUUGGAUCUAGGAACGGGAUGCUUCACGGCUGGCCGCAGGAUCACUGGGAGGAGCCGGGAGCAUGAAGAGGGCAGACGCGAUCAACGGGAGGAGGAAGACAUGGAUGAUGGAUGCGGAAAUGGAAGGCUGAGAUGCUGAUCUGGUGCGGUUCCUUGAUGGCAAGAAACGGAAGAGAUGAAGGCCUGCGGGAUCGCUGGGAGGAGCUAGAACUCGGAAGGGAUUUGGUGCGGAUGCAUACGGAUGGGAGAAGAGGCUAGGAGCUCGCGAUCAACGGGCGGAAGUAGAGGCAGAGGUGGGGGUCUUGAAUCCGGAAGGGAGAUGCUGUGGGAUCAUUUGGGAGGAGCCGUUCAUGGAAGAAAUCUAGUGCGGAUGCGGCUGGAUCACAGGAUGCUUGUAGAUGCGGAGGAGACGGAUGGGUUGAUGCUAGAAAUCCGGAAUGGGCGCAUGGCUGGGAAUGGAAGGAACUGGACACGGUGCGGUUGAGGAGCUGGGAUGCUUGAAUCGCUCGGAAUGGUAGCUGGAAUGGAAGGUUGCAACGCUAGUUGGGACUUGGCUAUGCAGGAAGCUGGGAUUUGAUCCGGAUGUGUCACGGAUCUGGGAAAUUCUGGGAGCACAUUGGGAUUGAAGGCUGAAGAUCGUUGAUGACGGAAGAGAUCCGGUUGCAUCAUGGGGCUGAGCUCCAUCACGUGAAGAUGCUGGCUUGACUUGAGCUCGGGCUGCCGGGCAUUGGGCUCAAACUCAAUGUUAAUUGGUUUCUUGGAUUACUUGCACUCAAACACAAAUACAACGUUAAUUAGUUAAUUUUAUUAUUAAUGAUUAGCUAUAAUACUAAUUAAGAUGGUAUGAUGAUUGCACUUUUGUUCUCUCAUCAACUGACCCUGAUGAUAGAAAGUCUACAUCAGGAUAUGUAUUCUUAUGCAAUGGAGGAUCG
rnacentral:lncRNA from 1 species